rnacentral:rRNA from 1 species
CCUACGGGGGGCUGCAGUGGGGAAUCUUGCGCAAUGGACGAAAGUCUGACGCAGCCACGCCGCGUGAGUGAAGAAGGCCUUCGGGUUGUAAAGCUCUGUCGUGCGGGACGAAAAUCUUUACGGUGAAUAGCCGUAGAGACUGACGGUACCGCAAAAGGAAGCACCGGCUAACUUCGUGCCAGCAGCCGCGGUAAUACGAGGGGUGCAAGCGUUGCUCGGAAUUAUUGGGCGUAAAGGGUAGGUAGGUGGUCUCAUUUGUCUGGGGUGAAAGCCUU